rnacentral:rRNA from 1 species
GUAGGUGGCAAGCGUUGUCCGGAAUUAUUGGGCGUAAAGCGCGCGCAGGCGGUUCUUUAAGUCUGAUGUGAAAGCCCACGGCUCAACCGUGGAGGGUCAUCGGAAACUGGAGAACUUGAGUACAGAAGAGGAAAGCGGAAUUCCACGUGUAGCGGUGAAAUGCGUAGAGAUGUGGAGGAACACCAGUGGCGAAGGCGGCUUUUCUGGUCUGUAACUGACGCUGAGGCGCGAAAGCGUGGGGAGCAAACAGGGAUUAGAUACCCUGGUAGUCCACGCCGUAAACGAUGAGUGCUAAGUGUUAGGGGGUUUCCGCCCCCUUAGUGCUGCAGCUAACGCAUUAAGCACUCCGCCUGGGGAUACGGCCGCAAGGCUG